rnacentral:lncRNA from 1 species
AUACAACAUUCAAUAGGGCCAAUAUUAGUAAUAAAUUCCAUACUUAUGCCAUUUAGGCAUAUUAUCAAAUACCUUGUAGGCAUAGAUAUUUACACCUCAUUACUAUAGUAUUGGUUCCUCCAACUAUCACCAUUAACCAAUAAUUCAUCCCACUACUAUUCUUUAACAACUUAUACUCCUAACAUCGCAUGUGUGAUCAACCAUUCAC